rnacentral:lncRNA from 1 species
AUUUAAAUUGCUAAAAAAAUAUGAAGGUUCAUGCAAAUGAGGUUCAGAUUCUCUUACAUUAUCAUCUUCAUGCAAAUGAGAUUCAAGUUCUCCUACAAUAUUGAACUGAUUAUCUUCAUCACCAUCUUCAUCAUUGUUACUGUUUUCAUCAAACCAUUCUUCAUUAGCCUCAUUCUCAUCUGAUUCAAAACCUUGAUUAUCAUAAUUUAUUUCAGUGUUGAUCUAAUCAUCGUCCUCCAUUUGAGUAUCGUAUCCCACACUUACUGCUACUUCCAGC